UGCAUUACGAUAAAAAGACGUAAUGGAAAAGGAUUGUUGUCAAUGCUGUUAUGCCGAAUUUAUUCAUAAAUUCUAGA
rnacentral:sRNA from 19 species